AGGAGAGUUUGGUCAUGGCUCAGAUUGAACGCUGGCGGCAGGCCUAACACAUGCAAGUCGAGCGGAAACGAGUUAUCUGAACCUUCGGGGAACGAUAACGGCGUCGAGCGGCGGACGGGUGAGUAAUGCCUGGGAAAUUGCCCUGAUGUGGGGGAUAACCAUUGGAAACGAUGGCUAAUACCGCAUAAUAGCUUCGGCUCAAAGAGGGGGACCUUCGGGCCUCUCGCGUCAGGAUAUGCCCAGGUGGGAUUAGCUAGUUGGUGAGGUAAUGGCUCACCAAGGCGACGAUCCCUAGCUGGUCUGAGAGGAUGAUCAGCCACACUGGAACUGAGACACGGUCCAGACUCCUACGGGAGGCAGCAGUGGGGAAUAUUGCACAAUGGGCGCAAGCCUGAUGCAGCCAUGCCGCGUGUAUGAAGAAGGCCUUCGGGUUGUAAAGUACUUUCAGCAGUGAGGAAGGUGGUAGUGUUAAUAGCACUAUCAUUUGACGUUAGCUGCAGAAGAAGCACCGGCUAACUCCGUGCCAGCAGCCGCGGUAAUACGGAGGGUGCGAGCGUUAAUCGGAAUUACUGGGCGUAAAGCGCAUGCAGGUGGUUUGUUAAGUCAGAUGUGAAAGCCCGGGGCUCAACCUCGG
rnacentral:rRNA from 1 species